rnacentral:rRNA from 1 species
CCUACGGGGAGCAGCAGUGGGGAAUAUUGCACAAUGGGGGAAACCCUGAUGCAGCGACGCCGCGUGAGUGAAGAAGUAUUUCGGUACGUAAAGCUCUAUCAGCAGGGAAGAAGAAAGACGGUACCUGACUAAGAAGCCCCGGCUAACUACGUGCCAGCAGCCGCGGUAAUACGUAGGGGGCAAGCGUUAUCCGGAUUUACUGGGUGUAAAGGGAGCGUAGACGGCUGUGCAAGUCUGAAGUGAAAGCCCAGGGCUCAACCCUGGGACUGCUUUGGAAACUGUGGAGCUAGAGUGCUGGAGAGGUAAGUGGAAUUCCUAGUGUAGCGGUGAAAUGCGUAGAUAUUAGGAGGAACACCAGUGGCGAAGGCGGCUUACUGGACAGUAACUGACGUUGAGGCUCGAAAGCGUGGGGAGCAAACAGGAUUAGAUACCCGAGUAGUC